rnacentral:rRNA from 1 species
CCUACGGGAGGCAGCAGUGGGGAAUAUUGGGCAAUGGGCGCAAGCCUGACCCAGCAACGCCGCGUGAAGGAAGAAGGCUUUCGGGUUGUAAACUUCUGUUAAGAGGGAAGAGCAGAAGACGGUACCUCUUGACUAAGCCACGGCUAACUACGUGCCAGCAGCCGCGGUAAUACGUAGGUGGCAAGCGUUGUCCGGAUUGACUGGGUGUAAAGGGCGUGCAGGCGGGAAGAUAAGUCAGAUGUGAAAUCCCGCGGCUCAACCGGGUAACGGCAUUGGAAACUGUUUUUCUUGAGUACCGGAGAGGUCAUCGGAAUUCCAUGUGUAGCGGUGAAAUGCAUAGAUAUAACGAAGAACUCCGAUUGCGAAGGCAGCAUACCGGCGCGCAACUGACGCUCAUGCACGAAAGCGUGGGUAUCGAACAGGAUUAGAUACCCCAGUAGUC